UUGUGCAGCACAGGACCCAAAUACAGGCUGGUGUCCCACUUGGUUGAUUGGGUAGUGGUCUACUUGAUAAAUUUUCAUAAGCUGCUAUCCCUUGUGAGGAGGCACACACUUUCACUUAAACCGUCUCCAAACUCGGCUCCUGGCUUUGAGGAUAAAAGUUUAAGUUUACUUUUGAGUCUUAUAAUAUUUCACACAAACUCCAUCAUAGAGGUAGAAUAUACUUCUCUAAAAUAGUCCUCAGGCUCACAUUCAGAUUCAAAGAUAUCUAUGAUCAGUCUUAUUUUGUGAUGUUAGCUAUAAAAUUAACAUUAAAGGUGUCAUUUCUACCCCAAUAAAUUGAUAAUGAUUCAGCAUGGCUUUCUACCUACACUCAUGGCUUGGACAUGCCACUGAAAAUUUAAACCAUCAUCUCUGUCCAUUUCCCAUUCUACAAGUAUCUUGGAUUUUCAGCUUUAAAAGUUCAUAAGGUUGAGUAUUUAGUUUUACUUGCCGUGAGUAAUGAACUGUAGAACUCUUCGGGAUUCCUUUAGGUCAUUUUUAAGUUACUAAUAUCUUAUCUCUACAAAUAA
rnacentral:lncRNA from 1 species